CUUCCUCUCCGGCAGGUUUGGACCGAGCUCUCCCUGACUACCCCACCGCUUCCCUCCCCAUCUCCCAGUACAGCCGUGCUCUGGACUUCACUCGGUCUGCGUCAUCACGCAUGUGCAGAAGUUACCACCACCUGGCACUGGGAGUGAGAGGAUUGCUGUUGUACUACAAUCAUGGUGCAAAAAUACCAGUCACCAGUGAGGGUGUAUAAACACCCCUUUGAAUUAGUUAUGGCUGCCUAUGAAAGGAGGUUCCCUACAUGUCCUUUGAUUCCAAUGUUCGUGGACAGUGACACUGUGAAUGAAUUUAAGAGUGAAGAUGGGGCUAUUCAUGUUAUUGAAAGGCGCUGCAAACUGGAUGUGGAUGCACCCAGAUUGUUGAAGAAGAUUGCAGGAGUUGAUUAUGUUUAUUUUAUACAAAAAAACUCACUGAAUUCUCGGGAACGUACUUUGCACAUUGAGGCCCAUAAUGAAACGUUUUCUAAUCGGGUCAUCAUUAACGAACACUGCUGCUACACCGUUCACCCUGAAAAUGAAGAUUGGACCUGUUUUGAACAGUCUGCAAGUUUAGAUAUUAAAUCUUUCUUUGGUUUUGAAAGUACAGUGGAAAAAAUAGCAAUGAAACAAUAUACCAGCAACAUCAAAAAAGGAAAAGAGAUCAUUGAAUACUACCUUCGGCAGUUAGAAGAAGAAGGCAUAACCUUUGUACCCCGUUGGACUCCACCUUCCAUCACUCCCUCUUCAGAGACAUCAUUGUCAUGCAAGAAACAAGCUGCUUCAAUGGCUGUUAUCAUCCCAGAUGCUACCCUCAAGGAAGGGCUGGGCGGUGAGGCCCUCAGUAACCCCGCAGGGGCACCCGAGUCCAUGGUGGGAACUCCAGAUGACAAACUAGAUGCAGACUACAUCAAGAGAUACCUGGGUGAUUUGACUCCACUGCAGGAGAGCUGCCUCAUUAGACUUCGCCAGUGGCUCCAGGAAACCCACAAGGGCAAAAUCCCAAAAGAUGAGCAUAUUCUUCGGUUCCUACGUGCUCGGGAUUUUAAUAUUGACAAAGCCAGAGAGAUUAUGUGUCAGUCUUUAACAUGGCGGAAGCAACACCAGGUAGACUACAUUCUUGAUACCUGGAACCCUCCCCAGGUCCUUCAGGAUUACUACGCAGGAGGCUGGCAUCAUCAUGACAAAGAUGGGCGGCCUCUCUAUGUGCUCAGGCUGGGGCAGAUGGACACCAAAGGCUUGGUGAGGGCCCUCGGAGAGGAGGCCCUGCUGAGAUACGUGCUCUCCAUCAAUGAAGAAGGGCUAAGGCGAUGUGAAGAAAAUACAAAAGUUUUUGGUCGGCCUAUCAGUUCAUGGACCUGCCUGGUGGACCUGGAGGGGCUGAACAUGCGCCACUUGUGGAGACCUGGUGUCAAAGCCCUGUUGCGGAUCAUCGAAGUGGUGGAGGCCAACUACCCUGAGACGCUGGGCCGCCUUCUCAUCCUUCGGGCGCCCAGGGUAUUUCCUGUCCUCUGGACACUGGUUAGUCCGUUCAUUGAUGACAACACCAGAAGGAAAUUCCUCAUUUAUGCAGGAAACGACUACCAGGGUCCUGGAGGCCUGCUGGAUUACAUCGACAAGGAGAUCAUUCCAGAUUUCUUGAGUGGGGAGUGCAUGUGUGAAGUGCCAGAGGGUGGGCUGGUUCCCAAAUCCCUGUACAGGACUGCGGAAGAGCUGGAAAACGAAGACCUCAAGCUCUGGACUGAGACCAUCUACCAGUCUGCGAGUGUUUUCAAAGGAGCCCCGCACGAGAUUCUCAUUCAGAUUGUGGAUGCCUCUUCAGUGAUCACUUGGGAUUUUGAUGUGUGCAAAGGGGACAUUGUCUUUAACAUCUAUCACUCCAAGAGGUCGCCACAGCCACCUAAAAAGGAGUCCCUGGGGGCCCACAGCAUCACUUCUCCAGGCGGGAACAACGUGCAGCUCAUAGACAAAGUGUGGCAGCUGGGCCGUGACUACAGCAUGGUGGAGUCGCCUCUGAUUUGCAAAGAAGGAGAAAGCGUGCAGGGCUCCCAUGUGACAAGGUGGCCGGGCUUCUACAUCCUGCAGUGGAAAUUCCACAGCAUGCCAGCAUGUGCUGCAACCAACCUGCCCCGCGUGGAUGACGUGCUGGCCUCCCUGCAGGUCUCCUCUCACAAGUGCAAAGUGAUGUACUACACUGAAGUGAUCGGGUCUGAAGAUUUCAGAGGUUCUAUGACCAGCCUGGAGUCCAGCCACAGCGGGUUCUCCCAGCUGAGCGCUGCCACCACCUCUUCCAACCAGUCUCACUCCAGCUCCAUGAUUUCCAGGUAGUGCCAUGACACCCAUGCCUACUGUGUGGAGGGGACAGCCACCCCUCCUCGGACAGCCAGCUGCGCUCCGCCUGUCCUCCCGCCAAGUGGCGACAUUGUGCAGACUCCUCUCACUCUCUAGAUAGCAAGUAGCUCUCCAGAUGGUAAAUUUAGUCGUUUGAUCCCAAAACUAUCUUGACCAGUAGUUUUAACUCUAACCGUAAUUUUAACUCAAUAGCCAUAGACUUUGUAUACAGCGUGCACAAAAUCCAACCAGGGCACAAGGGCUCUCUUGAAAGAAAAGCAGUUUAUAUACAGUUGAGAGACUGACUUUUUCUCAAAUGUUGAUGCAAAAAAUUUUUCAACAAACUCCACAUGGUCCAUUAGCGAAUGAAUUCCUACACCGCCCUUCAGAAACAAGUCCCACCUUCUCACAUGGAACAGAACCUGCUAACUUGUUUCCCUGAACCGCAUCGCAGCCCUCACAUCCCCUGCUGUUGGUCGAGAUGGUCCGUGGAUUCACCCUCCAGGUUCCUUUUCCUCUGAGGGUGCGGAGGCAGCCUGUGGGAGCACCUGCUCCCGUGGCCAGAGCCACCUGAGACUCUAAAGGGGGUGCUGGUGGCUCAGGAGGGACCCUUGUGGACUCCCCACGACUCCAGGAAAACGCUGCCAUCAUUAAAUGUUACCUUCUCUUUCCUUCUCUUAAAAUCCUUUUGAUAAUUUUCAGACAAGGAUUUUUCUGUAUGUGAACUCGGGUGGAGGGGAUUCUUUCUCUUUUUUCUUGUGCUGUGUCAUUCUUUCUACCUGCAAAAUGUUAGUUCUAAACUCACUGUAGAUUUAUCUCCUUUGUGCUCUCUAGGAGCUUUCUAUCCUCAGAGCCCAGAUAGUCCUUCUAGGCACUAGAGGGUAUUUUGGAAAGUGAGUAAGUCAACAUUUGCCGUUUUGACACCAUGCACAGUGUUUGCUUUAGCUAGCCAGCAUACUCCCCGUGUUGCCACUUCAGGAUGGCAUGUGGCUUGCAGGAGCCUGGCUCCUUUGUAAAUGGAGAUUGUGGACUCACGUAUGUGUGUGUGUGCAUGUGCAUGUGUGCAUGCGUGUGCGUGCGUGUGACAGUGGGGUGCUGGUGGGGAUGGGGCUAAUAGAAACUUAAUUGGAGUAAGAAAGGACUCUUCAUAGAAGCAAGUCAGAAUAUAACAAUAGUUUAUCUUUUACAUCUUCUUUUUGAUUCCCAGUUACAAAGCCUGCUGUAUCUUGGACAGGCCCUCGUUUUUUCAGCUCAUUAUGGGAAAAGCAGAUUAUUUGCGAAUCUUGCCAGAAGUUGCAUAGAGUUGGUCUCUGUGAUAGACAUGCAGUGUGUGUUUUUGUGUGUGGCAGAGGCUAUACUUUUAAAGAUAUGUGCCAAAAGCCGCACAACCAUUACCUGUGUGUGUGAUAGCUACAUAAAUCCUAGAUCGUGCUGUCUUUACUCUGAAGGCAUGAGGUGGAGGCCGCGUGUGUGCCCCGUGGUGGGAGGUGGCGGGAGGGCUUGGGGAGACCGAGCAGCCCUCCCCCUUGGUCAGGUAAACCCUGAUGGCUACCCUGAAGACGUUCCUGGGCCUCUCCUGUGAGUGCCUGCCUUCCUGGACCACGUUAGUGUUUCCUUUUAAAGGACGAGCUCCUCACUGGCACCUAGAGCCUUGUUUCCAGAAAGUGCAGUAGGGUUAGCUAGUACAUCUGUGCUGCUUCCAGUCAGUGCUUCUGUUUCCAAAUUAUAAGGACCUGAAGAUGGUCCCUUCUUUCUCUUUCUUUCUCUCUUUUUCUGUGUCUCAGAUGGCGAUUUUGCUGACAGCUACCAAGAAAGCGCUUCACUCAACAGUCCACAUGUGCCCAGAGAUGAUUAUAGGACUGUCUGACUUGCAGCCAUGUCCCCACCCCCGCCCCAGGCCGAAGAGCAGUUCUUUUUAAGUUGAUUCAGAAGUGGCACUGUUUUCUCCCCAAAGAGUUUAAGAGUUCAAAGCACAUGACUGCACAGAUGCUCGCAGGGUUUUCUCAGGAGCGACACAGCACCUGACUCUCCUCGUAGGGAAGGAGGGGCGUGUGUGGCUGGAUUAGGCGGUCCGUGGUGUGUCGCUCCUCUUAGCGCCCUUCACUCUCUUUAAAAUGCUGCUGUCAUUUCCCUUUUUCCAGUACUAAUGAUUCUAUUGGUUUUUCCCUCUUAUUACUACUGUCUUAAUUCAUUUUCCUUCCUAAAUUCAUUAUUUGCAUAUCAAAUUCUGUACAUGUUUUAUAAACAUAUUACCUCACUCUUGGUAAUACAAUACUGAUAGUCUUUAAAAGAUUUUUUUAUUGUUAUCAAUAAUAAAUGUGAACUGUUUAAAGAAAA